GACGAACGCUGGCGGCGUGCUUAACACAUGCAAGUCGAACGGACGGACUUGAGAGCUUGCUCUCGAGGAAGUUAGUGGCGGACGGGUGAGUAACGCGUGGGUAACCUGGCCUUUAGAGGGGGAUAACACUGCGAAAGUGGUGCUAAUACCGCAUGAAGUUAUCGGACCGCAUGGUCUAAUAACCAAAGGAGCAAUCCGCUAAAGGAUGGACCCGCGUCUGAUUAGCUAGUUGGUGGGGUAACGGCCUACCAAGGCGACGAUCAGUAGCCGGCCUGAGAGGGUGAACGGCCACACUGGGACUGAGACACGGCCCAGACUCCUACGGGAGGCAGCAGUGGGGAAUCUUCCGCAAUGGACGAAAGUCUGACGGAGCAACGCCGCGUGAAUGAAGAAGGCCUUCGGGUUGUAAAGUUCUGUCUUCAGGGAAGAAACAAAUGACGGUACCUGAGGAGGAAGCCCCGGCUAACUACGUGCCAGCCGCCGCCGUAAUAC
rnacentral:rRNA from 1 species